GACGAACGCUGGCGGCGUGCUUAACACAUGCAAGUCGAACGGAAAGGCCCUGCUUUUGUGGGGUGCUCGAGUGGCGAACGGGUGAGUAACACGUGAGUAACCUGCCCUUGACUUUGGGAUAACUUCAGGAAACUGGGGCUAAUACCGGAUAGGAGCUCCUGCUGCAUGGUGGGGGUUGGAAAGUUUCGGCGGUUGGGGAUGGACUCGCGGCUUAUCAGCUUGUUGGUGGGGUAGUGGCUUACCAAGGCUUUGACGGGUAGCCGGCCUGAGAGGGUGACCGGCCACAUUGGGACUGAGAUACGGCCCAGACUCCUACGGGAGGCAGCAGUGGGGGAUAUUGCACAAUGGGCGGAAGCCUGAUGCAGCAACGCCGCGUGCGGGAUGACGGCCUUCGGGUUGUAAACCGCUUUCGCCUGUGACGAAGCGUGAGUGACGGUAAUGGGUAAAGAAGCACCGGCUAACUACGU
rnacentral:rRNA from 1 species